GACAGAGGGGGCAAGCGUUGCUCGGAAUCACUGGGCGUAAAGGGCGCGUAGGCGGGAUGGCAAGUCGGUCGUGAAAUCCUCGGCUCAACCGAAGAACGUCGGCCGAUACUGCCGUUCUUGAGGGGAUGCAGACGGAGAUUGGAAUUCCGGUGUAGCGGUGAAAUGUGUAGAGAUCGGGAGGAACACCGGUGGGCGAAGGCGGGUCUCUGGGCAACAACUGACGCUGGAGGAGC
rnacentral:rRNA from 1 species